UACAGAGGUGGCAAGCGUUGCUCGGUAUCACUGGGCUUAAAGGGCGCGUAGGCGGUGCGGUACGGUUUCGGUGAAAUCCCUCGGCCCAACCCGAGGAACAGCCGGGGCAACGGCCGCGCUAGACGGCAUCAGGGGACAGUGGAACUUCCGGUGGAGCGGUGAAAUGCGUUGAGAUCGGAAGGAACGCCCGUGGCGAAAGCGAGCUCCUGGACGUUUUCUGACGCUGAGACGCGAAAGCCAGGGGAGACCGGAACGGGAUUAAGAAACCCGGGGUAG
rnacentral:rRNA from 1 species